GCCGGGUGCGGUGGCGCGCGCCUGUAAUCCAAGUUGCUGGGAGGCUGAGUCUGGCGGAUCGUUUGAGCUCAGGAGUUCUGAGCUGCAACGGACUAUGCCGAUCUGGUGUCCGCACUAAGUUCGGUAUCGAUAUGGUGCUUCCGGGGGAGCCCGGAACCACCAGGUCGUCUAAGGAGGGGUGCACCGGCCCAGGUCGGAAACGGAGCAGGUCAAAGCCCCCGUGCCGCUCAGUAGUGGGAUCGCGCCUGUGAAUAGACGCUGUAGUGCAGCCUGAGUAAUACAGCGGGACCCAGUCUCUU
ensembl:misc_RNA Metazoa_SRP Metazoan signal recognition particle RNA